AGAACGAACGCUGGCGGCAUGCCUAACACAUGCAAGUCGAACGAGACCUUCGGGUCUAGUGGCGCACGGGUGCGUAACGCGUGGGAAUCUGCCCUUGGGUUCGGAAUAACAGCGAGAAAUUGCUGCUAAUACCGGAUGAUGACGUAAGUCCAAAGAUUUAUCGCCCAAGGAUGAGCCCGCGUAGGAUUAGCUUGUUGGUGAGGUAAUGGCUCACCAAGGCGACGAUCCGUAACUGGUCUGAGAGGAUGAUCAGUCACACUGGAACUGAGACACGGUCCAGACUCCUACGGGAGGCAGCGAGUGGGGAAUAUUGGACAAGUGGGCGAAAGCCUGAUCCAGCCAUGCCGCGUGUG
rnacentral:rRNA from 1 species